rnacentral:rRNA from 1 species
CCUACGGGAGACAGCAGUGAGGAAUAUUGGUCAAUGGACGAGAGUCUGAACCAGCCAAGUAGCGUGAAGGAUGACGGCCCUAUGGGUUGUAAACUGCUUUUAUACGGGGAUAAAACGAUCCACGUGUGCCUUUCUGCAGGUACUUUCUGAAUAAGGACCGGCUAAUUCCGUGCCAGCAGCCGCGGUAAUACGGAGGAGCCGAGCGUUAUCCGGAUUUAUUGGGUUUAAAGGGAGCGUAGAUGGGUUGUUAAGUCAGUUGUGAAAGUCGCCGGCCCAAACGUCGAAUUGCAAUUGAUACUGGAAGUCUUGAGUACAGAUGAGGUAGGCGGAAUUCGUGGUGUAGCGGUGAAAUGCUUAGAUAUCACGAAGAACCCCGAUUGCGAAGGCAGCUUACGAAGGUGUGACUGACGUUGAGGCUCGAAAGUGUGGGUAUCAAACAGGAUUAGAUACCCCUGUAGUC